AGAAUUUAUCACUUCACUUCUCACGUUUGCAUCAACCUAUUCAUAUGUCUGGUAUGGGAUCAAGUCAUGGAUUCAUAAAUGGCACAUACCAAAACAAAUUUUAUGGUCAGUAUGGAAACAUUUUUAGGUCUGGCACAGGUGGUUUUGGAUCUACUAGUUAUGAUUCAAGAAUAAAUGCAAAUGGGUGGUUGGCUGUUGACAGCAAAUAUAAACCCAGAGGGCGAG
rnacentral:misc_RNA from 1 species